rnacentral:rRNA from 1 species
AUUGAACGCUGGCGGCAGGCCUAACACAUGCAAGUCGAGCGGAUGAAGGGAGCUUGCUCCUGGAUUCAGCGGCGGACGGGUGAGUAAUGCCUAGGAUUCUGCCUGGUAGUGGGGGAUAACGUCCGGAAACGGGCGCUAAUACCGCAUACGUCCUGAGGGAGAAAGUGGGGGAUCUUCGGACCUCACGCUAUCAGAUGAGCCUAGGUCGGAUUAGCUAGUUGGUGGGGUAAAGGCCUACCAAGGCGACGAUCCGUAACUGGUCUGAGAGGAUGAUCAGUUACACUGGAACUGAGACACGAUCCAGACUCCUACGGGAGGCAGCAGUGGGGAAUAUUGGACAAUGGGCGAAAGCCUGAUCCAGCCAUGCCGCGUGUGUGAAGAAGGUCUUCGGAUUGUAAAGCACUUUAAGUUGGGAGGAAGGGCAGUAAGUUAAUACCUUGCUGUUUUGACGUUACCAACAGAAUAAGCACCGGCUAACUUCGUG